rnacentral:lncRNA from 1 species
UAUGAACAAUAAAAGAGGAUCCUUGGGCUGCUGAGAUGAUUCAGUGGAUACAGCUGCUUUCUGCCAAGUGGGAUGACCUGAAUAUGAUCCCUGGAACCCACAUGGUGGAAGGAAGAGAACCAACUUCCACAAAGCUGUCCUCUGACUCCACACGUAUUCUGUGACACGCAGACGUGCACCCGCGCACAUGCAUGCAUGCAUGCAGAAGCAAUAAAGGUAAAAUAAAUCAAAAGAUCUUGUUUAAGGUAAACCAGAAGGACCAGCACCUGAGAUGUCCUCUGCCCUUCACACAUGCACCGUCACACACACACCAUGGCACACACGUGCUGUGUCACACAUGCUAACACUCACACAUACACAGGCGUACAUCAUGCACACAUAAAAUUUUGGAAAAAAAAACCCUUGCAACUGCAUUGAAUACGUGCACAUAUCUUUUAUUCUUGUUAUCCUCUAAACAAAACAAUGUAGUAUCUCUCUAGCACUUACAUUGCAUCAGUCACUAUAAGCAAUACAGGGAUAAUUUAUAAUGCAUGGGAGGGUGCUUGCAGAUUAUAUGCAAAUUAGAUGCCAGUAAAUAUGGAGGAGUAACUACAAGCUAGUACACACACACACACACACACACACUCCAUUUCCUUGUGAGUAAAAAAGUGCUUAAUUAGGAUAUGUGAUGUAGACACACUUGGUUUAUAGAUAGAAGAUUCCAGAAGACAUAUUUUAAUAAGGCACCAUGUGUAUGAACUGAAAUAGCAGAUGAAUUCAACUGUGUCCCCUCACUCAUUUGUGUUUUCAAAAUUUGUUUCCAGUGAGAGCCCCUUCUAUAACUAAGAGAAUGCUAUUUUUACAAUGAAUGUUUCACUGCUGUUUGAACGCUGUACUGUAGAAGGCACAGACUGAGAUGCUGGAUCAACUGCGCAUGCCUGUCUUUGUGACCGGCUGCUAUCGAUCCUUCCGAGCCCGUGUGCCACGCUGGAAAGCUGCAUCUAAGAGUUAAGAUUAUUGUGAGAAUUCAAUGUGAACAUCUUUGAAAUGCAGUUUCAAAUCUCCCACACGCUGACAAGAGCCACGUGAACCAUUGUGCAGCACUGCACCCAUUUGACAGAUGAGAGCAUGGAUACCUAACCGGAGCCUGGCAGGUCUUGGACAGCAGAGGCCACCCUGCAUCUGACACCAUCUCUUGUAAUCCAUGACUUCUCUUCCUGCCUCCAUGAAUCUCCAGAUAACAGAUUCCUGCCCUCCUAAAAGAUGGGUAUGUUUACACACUUCUAUUGAAAGUUGAUGCUCACAUAGAAUCAUAGUCAGGCAUUGUAGUGGGCCCAGAAAGGCAGGCAAGGCACAUGCAGGUUUCUCUAGGUUGGUAGCCAUGACGCUUGGGCUUUUCCGGUGUCCUUGACUAGAUCAUUUCCCUCACACCCCAAAAUAAUUUGAGCAGAUGUUUCAUCUCUAUGCAACUAGUCUUAGUGCUACCAUCACCAGCUUUCUUCUGUGGUUUCUCUUGGUCUUUCCUUCUUAACUCUACAAGACCACACCACAUAUUCCUUUCUCCUCACCAGGACAUGGCAGAGUGUCUGUAGUGUUUGGAGGAUUAUGAAAUACAAGGCUUCACAGAAACCCAAGGCCCACAGAUCCUCCAAGCUGUAGCUGAUUGCGCUGGUGCUUUCGUCCAUUUCCGUCCUUUUAUCCUCAUUCACUGAGAGGGAACUGCGGGGGUGGAGGGUGGGGGGAGUGGGGAGGGGGUGUAAGGCUUUGCCUUAGCAGCGUUUGACCACGUGACUUGCUUAGGCCAAUGGACAGAGAGUGGAUCUGGCAGACGCCAUGUCUGGGCACUUCUCGGCGUAGUUACAUGGGUGUUUUCUACUUUUUUUUUCCUCCCUGGGGAAAACACAAGGUGAUCCCUCAAGACAAGACAAACACCAAAGGGCAGUGUUGGACUGCAGGGGGGACCAGGAGACCUUACUGACUCGUCGGCAAUAAAGUUUGUGUGGUAGGCUUUGAUGACUACUAUGGGCAUCCUCUGUAUGUGUGUGUGGGGGGCGGGGGGAUGUUACUCUGCUUUCAGGGGAGUCUCUGACUUCUUUUUUAUAACUUGUGGUGAAUGGAGCCAGGUCUUCUUGACCCGAUACUGAGGGAUAAAGAGGGACAAAGGAGCUCCAGGAGAUGGCAGAGCGAAGCCAGGGUUCUUGGGAGUCAAGAGAGAUCUUGGGGUAUUGUUCUGGUUGUGGGGAGGAGAGGAUGGUCACUUCUAUCCCAAUGCUUUGCCCCACUGCUGUUGGUGUCCAUGUGGACCCCAGCCAUGCCCAGAAGGAUCCCAAGAAUGAUGACGAUCCAGAGACAGGGGACAAAAGGGAAUUAGGAACGCAGGCCAGGGACAGUUACUAGCAUUGCCUGCAGAGCCUAGGAGUCUACUCAGAGA